AUCCAGCUGAAGAGUCCCAAAUAGGACGAAACAAGCGUCCUGGAU
rnacentral:hammerhead_ribozyme from 1 species